rnacentral:rRNA from 1 species
GACGAACGCUGGCGGCGUGCUUAACACAUGCAAGUCGAACGGAAAGGCCCUUCGGGGUUCGCGUGCGGGGAAGGGGAGCGUAAGACGAAGGCGUGAGUAACUGGCCCUUGGGUUUAGGAUGGGUACAUGGGACUAAUGCUGAUAAGGGCUACGAGCUCCUGCGUCAGGGUGGGGGUGGUUUGGCGGUGGGGGAUGGGCUCGCGGCCUAUCAGCUUGUUGGUGGGGUAGUGGCUUACCAAGGCCAUGACGGGUAGCCGGCCUGAGAGGGUGACCGGCCACAUUGGGACUGAGAUACGGCCCAGACUCCUACGGGAGGCAGCAGUGGGGAAUAUUGCACAAUGGGCGGAAGCCUGAUGCAGCGACGCCGCGUGCGGGAUGACGGCCUUCGGGUUGUAAACCGCUUUCACCUGUGACGAAGCGUGAGUGACGGUACCGAGUAAAGAAGCACCGGCCAACUACGUG